rnacentral:rRNA from 1 species
UUACCCAUCCCGAUUCGGGGAGGUAGUGACGAAAAAUAACGAUCCAGGCUUCUUUACGAGGUUCUGUAAUCGGAAUGAGUACACUUUAAAUCCUUUAACGAGGAUCUACUGGAGGGCAAGUCUGGUGCCAGCAGCCGCGGUAAUUCCAGCUCCAGUAGCGUAUAUUAAAGCUGCUGCAGUUAAAAAGCUCGUAGUCGGAUCUCUGGCUUGGGCGAGCGGUCCGUCGCAAGGCGUGUACUGCUCGUGUCCCGGCCAGUCUACCGGUUAGCCGCGCGGUGCUCUUAACUGAGUGCCGUGCGCGGCCGGAACGUUUACUUUGAGAAAAUUGGAGUGUUCAAAGCAGGCACAACCGCCUGAACAGCUCAGCAUGGAAUAAUGGAAGAGGACCUCGGUUCUAUUUCGUUGGUCUCCGGAACGCGAGGUAAUGAUCAAAAGGGACAGACGGGGGCAUUCGUACUGCGGUGUGAGAGGUGAAAUUCUUGGAUCGCCGCAAGACGCCCAAAAGCGAAAGCAUUUGCCAAGAAUGUCUUCAUUGAUCAAGAACGAAAGUUGAGGGUUCGAAGGCGAUCAGAUACCGCCCUAGUCUUAACCAUAAACGAUGCCAACUUGCAACCCGCCGUAGUUCCUCCCAUGACACGGCGGGCAGCACCCGGGAAACCAAAGUGUUUGGGUUCCGGGGGAAGUAUGGUUGCAAAGCUGAAACUUAAAGGAAUUGACGGAAGGGCACCACCAGGAGUGGAGCCUGCGGCUUAAUUUGACUCAACACGGGAAAACUCACCCGGCCCGGACACAGUGAGGAUUGACAGAUUGACAGCUCUUUCUUGAUUCUGUGGGUGGUGGUGCAUGGCCGUUCUUAGUUGGUGGAGCGAUUUGUCUGGUUAAUUCCGAUAACGAACGAGACUCUGGCUUGCUAAAUAGUUUCCCUACCCGACGCGGUAAGGGAUGAAUGUACUUUCAUAGACGGGACGAGGUGACUCCCACCUCGCAAUGAGAAGCAGCA